rnacentral:rRNA from 1 species
UCUUCGAGUCGUUGAUUUCACACUGCCGAGAAAAGCCUCUAGAUAGAAAAUAGGUGCCCGUACCGCAAACCGACACAGGUAGUCAAGAUGAGAAUUCUAAGGUGAGCGAGCGAACUCUCGUUAAGGAACUCGGCAAAAUGACCCCGUAACUUCGGGAGAAGGGGUGCUCUUUAGGGUUAACGCCCAGAAGAGCCGCAGUGAAUAGGCCCAAGCGACUGUUUAUCAAAAACACAGGUCUCUGCUAAACCGUAAGGUGAUGUAUAGGGGCUGACGCCUGCCCGGUGCUGGAAGGUUAAGAGGAGUGGUUAGCUUCUGCGAAGCUACGAAUCGAAGCCCCAGUAAACGGCGGCCGUAACUAUAACGGUCCUAAGGUAGCGAAAUUCCUUGUCGGGUAAGUUCCGACCCGCACGAAAGGCGUAACGAUUUGGGCACUGUCUCAACGAGAGACUCGGUGAAAUCAUAGUACCUGUGAAGAUGCAGGUUACCCGCGACAGGACGGAAAGACCCCGUGGAGCUUUACUGUAGCCUGAUAUUGAAAUUCGGCACAGCUUGUACAGGAUAGGUAGGAGCCUUUGAAACGUGAGCGCUAGCUUACGUGGAGGCGCUGGUGGGAUACUACCCUAGCUGUGUUGGCUUUCUAACCCGCACCACUUAUCGUGGUGGGAGACAGUGUCAGGCGGGCAGUUUGACUGGGGCGGUCGCCUCCUAAAAGGUAACGGAGGCGCUCAAAGGUUCCCUCAGAAUGGUUGGAAAUCAUUCAUAGAGUGUAAAGGCAUAAGGGAGCUUGACUGCGAGACCUACAAGUCGAGCAGGGUCG